GACGGGGGAUGCAAGCGUUCUCCGGAAUCACUGGGCGUAAAGCGUCUGUAGGUGGUGAUGCAAGUCACUGGUGCAAAACUCUGGCUCAACCGGAGGAAAGCCAGUGAAACUGCAUGACUAGAGUGUGGGAGAGGUAGAAGGAAUUCCCUGAGUAGCGGUGAAAUGCGUAGAUACAGGGAAGAACACCGAAGGCGAAAGCGUUCUACUGGAACACAACUGACGCUGAGAGACGAAAGCUAGGGGAGCGAAUGGG
rnacentral:rRNA from 1 species